AACGAACGCUGGCGGCAGGCUUAACACAUGCAAGUCGAGCGCCCCGCAAGGGGAGCGGCAGACGGGUGAGUAACGCGUGGGAACGUACCUUUUGGUUCGGAACAACUCCGAGAAACUGGAGCUAAUACCGGAUAAGCCCUAACGGGGAAAGAUUUAUCGCCGAAAGAUCGGCCCGCGUCUGAUUAGCUAGUUGGUGAGGUAACGGCUCACCAAGGCGACGAUCAGUAGCUGGUCUGAGAGGAUGAUCAGCCACACUGGGACUGAGACACGGCCCAGACUCCUACGGGAGGCAGCAGUGGGGAAUAUUGGACAAUGGGCGCAAGCCUGAUCCAGCCAUGCCGCGUGAGUGAUGAAGGCCUUAGGGUUGUAAAGCUCUUUUGUCCGGGAAGAUAAUGACUGUACCGGAAGAAUAAGCCCCGGCUAACUUCGUG
rnacentral:rRNA from 1 species